rnacentral:rRNA from 1 species
GACGAACGCUGGCGGCGUGCCUAACACAUGCAAGUCGAGCGGGGACUUGUGGAACGCGGCUUCGGUCAAGUGAAACAAGUUCUAGCGGCGGACGGGUGAGUAACGCGUGAGCAACCUGCCUAUCACUGGGGAAUAACGCAUCGAAAGGUGUGCUAAUACCGCAUAUACUUACGGAAUCGCAUGAUUCUGUAAGGAAAGAUGGCCUCUGAAAAUGCUAUCGCAAAAGGAUGGACCCGCGUCUGAUUAGCUAGUUGGUGAGGUAACGGCUCACCAAGGCGACGAUCAGUAGCCGGUCUGAGAGGAUGAACGGCCACAUUGGGACUGAGAUACGGCCCAGACUCCUACGGGAGGCAGCAGUGGGGAAUAUUGGGCAAUGGGGGAAACCCUGACCCAGCAACGCCGCGUGAAGGAAGAAGGCUUUCGGGUUGUAAACUUCUUUUACCAGGGACGAAGGACGUGACGGUACCUGGAGAAAAAGC